GGAAGCGUCUGGAAAGGCGCGCGAUACAGGGUGACAGCCCCGUACACAAAAAUGCACAUGCUGUGAGCUCGAUGAGUAGGGCGGGACACGUGGUAUCCUGUCUGAAUAUGGGGGGACCAUCCUCCAAGGCUAAAUACUCCUGACUGACCGAUAGUGAACCAGUACCGUGAGGGAAAGGCGAAAAGAACCCCGGCGAGGGGAGUGAAAAAGAACCUGAAACCGUGUACGUACAAGCAGUGGGAGCACGCUUAGGCGUGUGACUGCGUACCUUUUGUAUAAUGGGUCAGCGACUUAUAUUCUGUAGCAAGGUUAACCGAAUAGGGGAGCCGAAGGGAAACCGAGUCUUAACUGGGCGUUAAGUUGCAGGGUAUAGACCCGAAACCCGGUGAUCUAGCCAUGGGCAGGUUGAAGGUUGGGUAACACUAACUGGAGGACCGAACCGACUAAUGUUGAAAAAUUAGCGGAUGACUUGUGGCUGGGGGUGAAAGGCCAAUCAAACCGGGAGAUAGCUGGUUCUCCCCGAAAGCUAUUUAGGUAGCGCCUCGUGAAUUCAUCUCCGGGGGUAGAGCACUGUUUCGGCAAGGGGGUCAUCCCGACUUACCAACCCGAUGCAAACUGCGAAUACCGGAGAAUGUUAUCACGGGAGACACACGGCGGGUGCUAACGUCCGUCGUGAAGAGGGAAACAACCCAGACCGCCAGCUAAGGUCCCAAAGUCAUGGUUAAGUGGGAAACGAUGUGGGAAGGCCCAGACAGCCAGGAUGUUGGCUUAGAAGCAGCCAUCAUUUAAAGAAAGCGUAAUAGCUCACUGGUCGAGUCGGCCUGCGCGGAAGAUGUAACGGGGCUAAACCAUGCAC
rnacentral:rRNA from 1 species